ACAGCACUAGUGUACAGACUUUACUCUUUGUUCCUAUCAUUAGUGUUAUACAGUAUAUGCACUAUUUCACAUAGCGUCUAUUUUAUCAUUGAAGGAUCGAGAAAUGCUCAACACAUGUUCAUCCACAGGAUGCCCCUGAUCAUGUGUAUGACGAUGUCACUGCCUUCCUCAAUCCGGUGACCUCCCCAACCCCACAGGAUGCGGCCAAUAAUGAUUGUGUCAACGUCAACCCGGUGACCUCUGACCCUGCUCCGAGAGUGGACUCAGGCGGCCCAGAUGACCUCCAUUACGCCAGCGUUCGGUUCAAGAGCUCCAGAGGACAGGAGGGGCCCCUCUACUCCACCGUCCAGAAGCCGAAACUCCGCACACAGCAGCAGGAGAUGAUGGAGGAGGUGGAGGAGAUGAAGGAGGUGGAGUACGCAGCAGUCAAUUUCUCAAGACCCGACACUGCCACCAAAGAUGCCCAAGACACUGUGAUCUACAGCAAGGUCCGCAAACCCAAGCCAUUCACUUAUACACCAUGAGCUCAGACAGACCACGGCAUGCUUCACCCUAUUGGACGACACAUCACCUGCUCCACCCUAUUGGACGACACACCACCUGCUCCACCCUAUUGGAUGACACAUAUGGCAU